CCUACGUGUGGCAGCAGUGGGGAAUAUUGGACAAUGGGCGAAAGCCUGAUCCAGCCAUGCCGCGUGUGUGAAGAAGGCCUUCGGGUUGUAAAGCACUUUCAGUGGGGAAGAAAGCCUUGGGGCUACUACCCUCGAGGAAGGACAUCACCCACAGAAGAAGCACCGGCUAACUCCGUGCCAGCAGCCGCGGUAAUACGGAGGGUGCGAGCGUUAAUCGGAAUUACUGGGCGUAAAGCGCGCGUAGGCGGUCUGAUAAGCCGGUUGUGAAAGCCCCGGGCUCAACCUGGGAACGGCAUCCGGAACUGUCAGGCUAGAGUGCAGGAGAGGAAGGUAGAAUUCCCGGUGUAGCAGUGAAAUGCGUAGAGAUCGGGAGGAAUACCAGUGGCGAAGGCGGCCUUCUGGACUGACACUGACGCUGAGGUGCGAAAGCGUGGGUAGCAAACAGGAUUAGAUACCCCAGUAGUC
rnacentral:rRNA from 1 species